rnacentral:lncRNA from 1 species
GUGUUUGAUUACUGAAUCCUCUUUAACAUUCAGGCCAGUAUCUUAUAUUACCCAGUAUUACCAAGUAAAAUCCAGUAAAACCCGGGUUUUCCCAGUAUUUCCCACUGGGCUGGGCAAUACUCAUAAAACCCGGGUUUUUGCCAACCCUGGAUUUAGCAUAUUGAAAAACCCCAUAUAUUCAAUUUUUGUUGAAAUUUUGGACCCUCAUUUGGACCAACUUGAAAACUGGGCCCAUAAUCAACCAGAUGCUCUACAGGGCGCAGCUUUAUACAACCACAGAGUUUGAACCCUGAACAUUGGGGCAAGUAUGGACACAACAUUCAAGCUUGAUACAGCUCUGAAUUUGGAUUGUGAUAAAAUAGUGGACACAACACAGGUUUCUGACAUAUAAUGAAUGUGGUCUAAGAACUUAAAACUUAAACAGGUGCUCCGCAGGGCGCAGCUUUAUACGACCGCAGAGGUCGAUCCCUGAACAGUUGGGGCAGG